GAAGUUGGAGUCGCUAGUAAUCGCAGAUCAGCAACGCUGCGGUGAAUACGUUCCCGGGCCUUGUACACACCGCCCGUCACGUCAUGAAAGUCGGUAACACCCGGAGCCGGUGGCCUAACCCUUGUGGAGGGAGCCGUCGAAGGUGGGAUUGGCGAUUGGGACGAAGUCGUAACAAGGUAGCCGUACCGGAAGGUGCGGCUGGAUCACCUCCUUU
rnacentral:rRNA from 1 species